UCUUUUCUCAUUAUCCUUCUCUCUUCUUCCCCUAUCUCUCCUCCACCACCUCAAAACAUAAACCCUAGCCAGAUAACCUCCAACUAUCCACUACACAACCCAUCCUCCCCGCCAUAAAAAUCUGCCGACUCUAUUGUAACAGCAAAAUUAAAUGCUUUCUUGGUGAGAAAAAAUUCAAAUUUUGUCAAAUACGCCAUUAGGGCUUUGAAAAAGCUUGGAAAAUCUGGAAGUUUUCUCGAUUCUCGCAUUUUCUAUAAAUUUUUGACUUUAAAUCUGGACUUUGUAGUUCGAAGUUAGAUUAUAAAAAGGGGCAAAAGAGAUGAAGAAAGGGAAAAAAAGAAGAGAGAGAAAAAAAUUAAGGAAAAAACAACGGAAAAAGGAAAGACAGGAGAGAAAAGCAAGAAAGGAAAGAAAAAAAGGUAGAAAAAAUGAGUAGAAAAGGUACGGAGUCAUUUUUUUGCUUUAAUUCCAUCUCUCUUCUGUUUUCUCAUUUGGAUUUGUAAGUGUGUUGUUUAGUUUCAAUUCAAUCAAAUUUCAUGUUGAUGUGGUUGAAAAUAGAUUUGUGCACACGUUCCGGU
rnacentral:lncRNA from 1 species